GAUCCUGGCUCAGGACGAACGCUGGCGGCGCGCCUAACACAUGCAAGUCGAACGGAGUUGCCUGAUCUGAUUCUUUCGGGAUGACGAACUUGUAACUUAGUGGCGAACGGGUGAGUAACGCGUGAGGAACCUGCCCCAGAGUGGGGGACAACAGUUGGAAACGACUGCUAAUACCGCAUAAGCCCACGGUACCGCAUGGUACAGAGGGAAAAGGAGCAAUUCGCUUUGGGAUGGCCUUGCGU
rnacentral:rRNA from 1 species